UCGUCUUCAUUAUGGUACCGUAUACAGUUUUGGGUGUUUUUUAUUAAUUUUUUUUUACGAACGCUUUAAGUGCAGUUAAUUAUUUGUCAUGCUGUACGUGCUAAUAGACAACUGCUUGAAGCCGUGGGUGUGUCCCAAAUCGCGUACUUAUCGUUUAUAUAGUAACCGAGAUACAUGUAUUUUCCCCCACUACAGGCCUAUAGUAGGCAAGUAAGCGAUUUGGGACGCGGACGAACUCUCUUAUUCGCCGUGAAACGUAAAACUGCCGUGUGUGAUCGUGUCCUGUCGCAAAAUGCGGUGAAAACUCACACGACGUUCAUAAUGUGAUUAAGGUGAUUACGUGUCUGUAAUACACGUCCAUAAUGCGACUAAAACAGGAAUACUACACCUGAUUAAGGGUCACAGGAACCUGGAGCCUAUCCCAGGGAGCAUCGGGCACAAGGAGGCGUACACCCUGGACAGGGUGCCAGUCCAUCACAGGGCACAAUCACAUACACACUCAUUCAUACUCUACGGACACUUUGGAUAUGCCAAUCAGCCUACCAUGCAUGUCUCUGGGGGAGGAAACUGAAGCAAACUCCGCACACACAGGGCCACAAUGGGAAUUGUGGGCGAACGUGCUAACCACUAAGCCCCUGGAAACACGUCAUGUGACUUUGCUGUGAAUGGAUAAUUGGCUCGGGGAAGUUAACAUCGCGGAGAGCACCAGGAAGUGAUUUUGUGCUCUUGAACACAUGGGAUGGAAACAGCUUUAUUUGCAUAUGUUUUAUGCAAAAUUCAAAUUUUUUUAACAAAAUGAAGUUAAAUUCGCAACUUGCAUGGAAACAUGGCUAUUGGUUAUUUUCAUGGAACAGCACACCCUCAAGUGGUGACAAAGGAAGUUGAAUCAAUUACCAUACAUGCAGUAAAUACUAUAUAUCGAUUAAAGUUUGUUUAUUUUUUGUUCACAAAAUUCAGAAAAAGAAAAUAACCUUCCGAGAGCUUGCUUCAUAUUAAACGAGGAAGAAAGUCCCGUAGUUUCACUUCCUCUUACACAGAAACGGUUUUUAUAUGUGGUGCUGCUUCUUUGAGGAAAUGUGGGCCAGUGAUUUUCAUCUGAAAUGACCAACAUAUUGUAAAGUUUUGCUCUACUACUACUUGAGUUCUCUUCUAUCAUGAAUUAGUUUGGAACUGAGUGUGUGUGUGUGUGUGUGUAUAUGUGUGUGGAAAUGCUGUAAAGCCUUCAAAAACAAUACAAUGAAACAUUUUCAACCUAGAAAGGGCUCUUUACUAUAAAGAGCAAUACACAGUAAUGAAUUAAACAAAUCCAACAUAUUGUGAUAACCCUUUCCUUUUUUAAAGCACAUCCGUAGUCUCAGAUACAAUUCGUGGCUUUGUUUGAUAAGGAAAUUAACCGCUAAGUUUUGCUCAGCAUCUUGGAGAACAUGCCACAGUUCUUCUGUAGACUUUGACUUUCACACUUGCUUCUGGUUUUGCAAGUAAUCCCUGAUAGCCUGAAUUCAUUCAUAACAUUUUUUGUCUGAAAAUAUCUACAGGACAGAUCCAACGCGCCUGCUGACAGAUUGUACACGUCUCUGGCGCUGAAAACCUCCAAAAGAACGCCGUCUUAACACCUCGCUCCAAAAUCUCAGAGGUCUUCACUGGAGUUGAGAUGUAUUCAGUGUGACUAUAUGUUCACAUAAUGGAGUAUCCUCCGUUAAGAUGGUUAACAUGGUUCAUUUUAGACCAAAAGACCAGCCUUAUAUGACCGGUAUACAGUCCCCUCCGAAAGUAUUGGAACAGCAAGGCCGGUUGAUUUGUUUUUGCUGUAGAUUGAAGAUACUUGGGUUUGAGAUCAAAAGAUGGAUAGGAGAAGAGAGUUUAGAAUUCCAUCUUUUAUUUCCUGGUGUUUAUAUGUAGACAUAUUAAACGACAUGGAACAUAGCACAUUUUAUAUCAGACCACGCAAAAAUAUUGGAACAUGUGACUGACAGGUGUUUCUCGUUACCCAGGUGUGUCCUGUUAGAUUGAUUGUUUAGACAAUAAAUACCUCUGAACAUCUAGUCUUGGUUUUAGGCUUCAGUUUCACCCGUGAAGACUGUAUUUGUUGUUAAAAGGGAUAAACCAACAUGAAUAUCAGAGAGCUGUCUAUGGGAGAAAAGCAAGCCGUUUUGAAGCUGAAGCUGAAAAAAGACUGAAAAUCAAUCGGAGGCGUCACAGAAACAUCGGGUAUAACCAAUACAACAAUUUGGAAAGUCCUGAAAAAGAAAGAAACCAUUGUUGUACUGAGCAACAGACACCGAACGGG